UGUGGCUUACAGAUGGGCCUGCGGCGCAUUAGCUAGUUGGUGAGGUAACGGCUCACCAAGGCGACGAUGCGUAGCCGACCUGAGAGGGUGAUCGGCCACACUGGGACUGAGACACGGCCCAGACUCCUACGGGAGGCAGCAGUAGGGAAUCUUCCGCAAUGGACGCAAGUCUGACGGAGCAACGCCGCGUGAGUGAUGAAGGUUUUCGGAUCGUAAAGCUCUGUUGCCAGGGAAGAAUGCUAAGGAGAGUAACUGCUCUUUAGGUGACGGUACCUGAGAAGAAAGCCCCGGCUAACUACGUGCCAGCAGCCGCGGUAAUACGUAGGGGGCAAGCGUUGUCCGGAAUUAUUGGGCGUAAAGCGCGCGCAGGCGGUCAUUUAAGUUUGGUGUUUAAUUCCGGGGCUCAACCCCGGGUCGCACUGAAAACUGGGUGACUUGAGUGCGGGAGAGGAAAGUGGAAUUCCACGUGUAGCGGUGAAAUGCGUAGAGAUGUGGAGGAACACCAGUGGCGAAGGCGAC
rnacentral:rRNA from 1 species